AGGUGACCUCUCCAUGGAAGUUACUGUAUAGGGAUGAGUCUGCGUACCAUUAGCUAGUAGGUAGGGUAAAGGCCUACCUAGGCUACGAUGGUUAGCGGGUCUGAGAGGAUGAUCCGCCACACUGGAACUGGAACACGGACCAGACUCCUACGGGAGGCAGCAGUGAGGAAUAUUGCGCAAUGGGGGAAACCCUGACGCAGCGACGCCGCGUGGGUGAUGAAGGCCUUCGGGUUGUAAAGCCCUGUCGGGUGGGAAGAAGUGCAUAGUGGCUAAUAUCCAUUAUGUUUGACGGUACCACCAAAGGAAGCACCGGCUAACUCCGUGCCAGCAGCCGCGGUAAUACGGAGGGUGCAAGCGUUGUUCGGAUUUACUGGGCGUAAAGGGCGCGUAGGCGGUCUUAUAAGCCAGAUGUGAAAGCCCACGGCUCAACCGUGGAAGUGCAUCUGGAACUGUGAGACUUGAGUAUGGGAGAGGAAAGUGGAAUUCCCGGUGUAGAGGUGAAAUUCGUAGAUAUCGGGAGGAAUACCGGUGGCGAAGGCGACUUUCUGGACCAAUACUGACGCUGAGGCGCGAAAGCGUGGGUAGCAAACAGGAUUAGAUACCCUGGUAGUCC
rnacentral:rRNA from 1 species